rnacentral:rRNA from 1 species
AACGAACGCUGGCGGUAUGCUUAACACAUGCAAGUCGAACGGAUGCCUUUGGAGCUUGCUCCAAAAGCAUUAGUGGCAAACGGGUGAGUAACACGUGGGAAUCUACCUAUCAGUACGGAAUAACAUUUGGAAACAGAUGCUAAUACCGUAUAUUCUCUUCGGAGGAAAGAUUUAUCGCUGAUAGAUGAGCCCGCGUAAGAUUAGGUAGUUGGUGGGGUAAUAGCCUACCAAGCCGACGAUCUUUAGCUGAUCUGAGAGGAUGAUCAGCCACACUGGGACUGAGACACGGCCCAGACUCCUACGGGAGGCAGCAGUGGGGAAUAUUGGACAAUGGGCGAAAGCCUGAUCCAGCAAUACCGCGUGAAUGAUGAAGGCCUUAGGGUUGUAAAGUUCUUUUAGUAGGGAAGAUAAUGACGGUACCUACAGAAAAAGCCCCGGCUAACUCCGUG